CCGAACUCCCCGGGGUGGGGGCGUGGCUGGCAAGCCGAGCGGAGACGCGGGCGGAGCCUCGGAGCCUGCGCCGGGGGCAGAAAGGGGCCGGAGUGCUUAGAUUGGAAGACAAUGCGCCUAGUACUGAGCGGCGGGAGGUGGCGGGACCUUUAGGGUGGCCUGUUACCGUCGAUCGUUUAUGUUGAGUCGAUGUUUCUUGUUCUUUCAAUCAUUCCAUUCAAAGAGCUGUGGAGUCUAGUUGAUGAAAGAUAAAACAGAGUCCUACACUGCUGUGUGACCUCAGGCAAAUUAGACAACCUCUCUGGGCCGCAGCAUCCUCAGUUGAAAAGUGGUGAUAAUUAUAUUUACCCGCCCAAGUAGUUGUGAAGAUUACAUAAGAUACAUAUAGACUAUUGUCAUAAUGCCUGGCAGAGGAUGGAUGCUUCUUAACAUUUGGUAGCCGAUAAUGAUGAGGACAAUUUUGUGUCAGAAAUUGUGCUAGAUACUGAGGUUCAAGGAUGAAGAAAACAGAGGCCCUCCUCUCAAGGAGGUUAGAGUCUAGUGGGAGAGACUGACAAGUAAGCUGAUUGCCUGAGGCCGCCUUCUCUGAUUUCUUGCCUUCAGGUAGAAGGUGUUUUCUCUGAGCUAUGAUACUUUGUUUCACAGUUACAACAUGACAUUUAUGCAGUCUCCUGUCUCCCUUUAAUGGUUUGUCACCUCUUAAUUGCAAUGUGGCUGCCACAGCUCCAGACUUCAUAUCCUCAGAGGUUAUUGUGCAAAGAAGGAUGAAGGAAAAGCAAGUGCUGCUCCCAUUUUUAUGAAGCAGAAAAAUUUUUCCCAGACUUCUCUCUAGUGGAAUCUCCCUUAUUGGCCAGAAAAUGGCCACAUGCUAUAUGAGACCAGUCACCCACAAAGGGAAAUGGGAUUGCCACCAGUUCAUUAAAUUGAUCAUGAACCUCCAAUGCUCCCCCAAAAUAGGGGUUCUGUUUGAGAGAAGAAAGGGGGAGUAGUUGUUACAUUGAUACCCAACAGUGUCUGCCACAUGCUUCAACCAAAAAUAAGUUAUAUUGAUUCUUGGGCAGAAAACUAUAGGGAUUAGGAGCUCGAGUUCUCCUGUCAGACUGCAAAUCCCCGUUUUUCUACUUACUAGCCCUGUGAUCUUGAGCAAGCUGUUUAACCUCACCUAAUCACAAUUUGUUCAUCCACAAAAUGGGUCUUGCCUGAGUUGUGAGAACUGUAUGAAGCUAUUUAAGUACUUAACUAACAUAGGGUGCAGCAUGUAGCAAACAACAAAUUAUUAUUUUAGUUUGUGCUAAAUUAUAAUAUUUGUGACAAGAUUAAAAGCAUUGCUAAACUUUAUAAUUCUGUACAUGUUAAAUUCACUCAUCUCAGUAAGCUUAGUCUUAGUUUUUAAAAUGCUCUAGAAAUAAGCUGCCCACUCAUUGAAUGAAUGAGGUAGAAUACUGGUAGGAUACUAUUCUGGACAUUUUUAUGUAGUUAAAGGGAUCAUAUUAUAAGUUUCUAAAAUAGCACAUAAUUUUUAGGCACCUGAUUAAAUAAU